rnacentral:rRNA from 1 species
UACGGAGGGGGCUAGCGUUGUUCGGAAUUAUUGGGCGUAAAGGGCGCGUAGGCGGCCAUUCAAGUCGGACGUGAAAUCCCUCGGCUCAACCGGGGAACUGCGUCCGAUACUGUUUGGCUCGAGUCCUGGAGAGGGUAGUGGAAUUCCCAGUGUAGCGGUGAAAUGCGUAGAUACUGGGAGGAACACCGGUGGCGAAGGCGGCUACCUGGACAGGUACUGACGCUGAUGCGCGAAAGCUAGGGGAGCAAACAGGAUUAGAUACCCUGGUAGUCCUAGCUGUAAACGAUGGGCACUUGGUGUUGCGGGUAUCGACCCCUGCAGUGCCGAAGCUAACGCAUUAAGUGCCCCGCCUGGGGAGUACGGUCGCAAGGCUGAA